CCGCUGCAAUGCUCGUCGACAAGGAAUUGACGGGGGCCCGCACAAGCGGCGGAGCAUGCGGAUUAAUUCGAUGCAACGCGAAGAACCUUACCAAGGCUUGACAUAUAUGAGAACGGGCCAGAAAUGGUCAACUCUUUGGACACUCGUAAACAGGUGGUGCAUGGUUGUCGUCAGCUCGUGUCGUGAGAUGUUGGGUUAAGUCCCGCAACGAGCGCAACCCUCGUCCUAUGUUGCCAGCACGUAAUGGUGGGAACUCAUGGGAGACUGCCGGGGUCAACUCGGAGGAAGGUGGGGAUGACGUCAAAUCAUCAUGCCCCUUAUGUCUUGGGCUUCACGCAUGCUACAAUGGCCGGUACAAAGGGCUGCAAUACCGCAAGGUGGAGCGAAUCCCAAAAAGCCGGUCUCAGUUCGGAUUGAGGUUUGCAACUCGACCUCAUGAAGUUGGAGUCGCUAGUAAUCGUGGAUCAGCAACGCCACGGUGAAUACGUUCCCGGGCCUUGUACACACCGCCGUCGACGCGGCCG
rnacentral:rRNA from 1 species